rnacentral:rRNA from 1 species
GUGAACGCUGACAGAAUGCUUAACACAUGCAAGUCUUUGGCGAAGCUGUGCUUGCACAGCCUAGCCAAGGCGGACGGGUGAGUAACGCGUAAGGAACUUGCCCUGCAGUCAGGGAUAACAGACGGAAACGACUGAUAAGACCUGGUAAAGUCAGGCGGACUCAUGUCCAGCCUGAUGAAAAGAGAUGCUGCAGGAGAGCCUUGCGUCCUAUUAGCUUGUUGGUGGGGUAACGGCCCACCAAGGCGAUGAUAGGUAGCCGGCCUGAGAGGGUGGACGGCCACAAGGGGACUGAGAUACGGCCCGUACUCCUACGGGAGGCAGCAGUGGGGAAUAUUGGACAAUGGGGGCAACCCUGAUCCAGCAAUUCUGUGUGCACGAUGAAGGUUUUCGGAUUGUAAAGUGCUUUCAGCAGGGAAGAAAAAAUGACGGUACCUGCAGAAGAAGCGACGGCUAAAUACGUG